rnacentral:rRNA from 1 species
GAUGAACGCUGGCGGCGUGCCUAAUACAUGCGAGUCGAGCGAACAGACGAGGAGCUUGCUCCUCUGACGUUAGCGGCGGACGGGUGAGUAACACGUGGAUAACCUACCUAUAAGACUGGGAUAACUUCGGGAAACCGGAGCUAAUACCGGAUAAUAUAUUGAACCGCAUGGUUCAAUAGUGAAAGACGGUUUUGCUGUAACUUAUAGAUGGAUCCGCGCCGCAUUAGAUAGUUGGUAAGGUAACGGCUUACCAAGGCAACGAUGCGUAGCCGACCUGAGAGGGUGAUCGGCCACACUGGAACUGAGACACGGUCCAGACUCCUACGGGAGGCAGCAGUAGGGAAUCUUCCGCAAUGGGCGAAAGCCUGACGGAGCAACGCCGCGUGAGUGAUGAAGGUCUUCGGAUCGUAAAACUCUGUUAUUAGGGAAGAACAAAUGUGUAAGUAACUAUGCACGUCUUGACGGUACCUAAUCAGAAAGCCACGGCUAACUACGUG